UACGAAGGGGGCUAGCGUUGCUCGGAAUCACUGGGCGUAAAGCGCACGUAGGCGGCUCUCUAAGUCAGGGGUGAAAUCCUGGAGCUCAACUCCAGAACUGCCUUUGAUACUGGAGAGCUUGAGUCCGGAAGAGGUGAGUGGAACUCCGAGUGUAGAGGUGAAAUUCGUAGAUAUUCGGAGGAACACCAAUGGCGAAGGCGGCUCACUGGCUCGGUACUGACGCUGAGGUGCGAAAGCGUGGGGAGCAAACAGG
rnacentral:rRNA from 1 species